AUUGCUAUGGAGAAUUAAUUUAAAAUCAAUAAAAUGAAUCAUUUUAGGGUUUAGUUUCUACCAUUUUUUGCAGGCAAUUUUCUUCAUAUUUCGUCUGCAGAUUCAUUCCGCAGAGAACAGAAAUUUAUAACCCCAAAAAAGUAGGCGAAACUAAUCUCAUGUUUUAAUGGUGAAGACGAAAUCGAAGAGCUCCGGUGAGUGAGUUGUGAUGUGCGAUUUCUCUAAUGGUUUAAAGUAUUUGUAUAUUUGCUUACGAAUUUGCAUGUUUGCUUGAUUCAUGGACUGUACUUGUACAAUUUUUAAUUCGCAUGAAUUAGUUUGUUAGUUUAAAUGGUUUUGUCAGAUUUAUAAUUUAAUAAACAAAUUAAUUGGUGUCAGAACAAUGUUGUGUGAGAUGUCAUUUUAUUUUUUGUAGUGGAUCUACACAUAUCAGUUUUUUUUAAGGAAUUCGUCUAAUUGCAACUUUUCUAUUAGGUUUGUUAUUUCUUUUUUCAAUAUAUGUGUAUUCUUGAGAUCUCUGAGAUCGUAAUAUAUGAAUUAAUCGAAACUUUGGGUUUAUUUUCUGGUGUUUCCCCUUUUUUUUGUAGAUGACAUGUCACAAUGAUGAUUUUCGGGUGUAUUAAUGCGAAUUUAAUAAUAUUCAUUUGUGUAAUCAUUAUCUGAUGAUGUCCACAAUGUGAAUCGGGACAUCAUUUGUUCAUGAACAUAUAUGUGUUUUACCAGAAUUGCAACCAUGAAUUAGAACUCUGUACUUUGUGUGAACCCGUUCAAAGGAAGAUAUUGCUAAAUUAUGAGUUUUUUGAAUUACUGAUAUUAAUUAUGAAUCAGUUUUGUUCUUGAUAUUAAUUUGUUGUAUGAAUCACUCUUACAUGUUGGCCUUGAAUCAAUUUUAGAUGUUGUAUGAAUCCAUAAUUAUGAAAUUGCAUAUACGAACUUUAUUAGCGUGAACCAUGUUGUAAUCUGAAAAUAUUUUGUGUCGUGUCUGAAUUGACAUCUGUUUUGUGUAUUCUGAUUGUUUAGCUGAUGAUUGCCAGCUCAUUAGGUAGUAAUUGAUUAGAAAUGGAUACAAGUUUGCGUGGGUGAUGAGUGUGAACCCAACUGAUAUUAGAUAUGCGUUUGUGUGAGUGUGAUAAAUUUAUAUCUUUGAGGUUCUGUGAAGCCACAAUAUGUGUGCAUAACGAAAGAAAUUUGCGCGUGAAUUGCAGCAAUGUGCCCAAAAAAGGGGAAAAGGUAUAGUAAUUCGGGAGAUACAAUAGACAGACAAGUGAAGGUUUGUUUAUGUGACUUGUCCAGUAUCAAGUUUGUUUUAUGCAAGGAGAUACAAUUCCUCAUCUUUAUGCAGCACGAACUAAGCAUAGGAAUGACCCAUUGCUAACAGAGUUGAAGCUUGCAAUGAUAGACGGUAUGUUAAACUGUUAUUAAUUUAAGAGUGGUUAAGGUUGUACUUUUUUUCUAUAUUUAGGUGGUACUUGAAUUUUUGCAUUAUGUGGUUAUAUGUUUUUGGUUAAGUUUGUGUAUUUUUUGAAUUAUUUAGUUGUUUGAAUGAAUUAGGAGUUUUGAAAAAGAGUAAAGAAAUGAAGGUUGCAAAGCAGUCUGGUGAAGAUAAUUCAGACACUUCGGUUGAUGUUGGAGGUCUACCGUCGCUGUUAUAAAAAAGACAAGGAACGAGAAGCGCAAAGCGGUGAUGGUGAAUUACAAGGAGUGGGUUGUCAGACGUCCAGAAGAUUAGUCGUCCUUGUUGAACGAGCAUCAAAAGCAGUGGCGACAUUAGGAUUUAAUUGUUUGUUGGAUCUUCCUAUCCAGGAUCUACCCGAGAAGCUUAACUACUGGGUGAUGGAUAGUUACAGACUUAUUUGUGCUUUGGUUUCGCAUUUGGUGUGGU
rnacentral:lncRNA from 1 species